UGAAUAAAUAAUAGAAUCACAGUUCUCAUUUGUGAGCAUAAUACUGUUCUCUUACACUUUCUACAAUUUUUUUUAUGUGCCACUACUUUUCCCCAUUGAAUUACUAUCCUAUAUCUCUCUAAACUACUCUCUACUAUUUCAUCUCUCUGCCCUCUGUUUCUUCGUUACAUUACAGCCAAGAAGCUUUCUUCAGUGUGACAUUUCACUGCAUUAAUCCAUCCAACAGUCAUUUUGCAUCACAAACUCUAUUGGAGAUCACAGGAUGUAAAGAACAGCAGGGAGUAAAAUGUUCAUAUACACACAAAUGCAGUGAAGCAUUUGAGAACAAAAAAUGUCCCAGUUUCACCCCUGUACUUGGUUGGCUGCGGGAGCACCUCCUGGCUGCUGGGGCAAACAGUCAAAACACGACCCUUGCAAACUUUGCACCAGAGAGAGAGACACGGAAGCUUAAAUUGUAUCCACACUGCAGUUCAUAUACAAAUGGGGAGGAUGGAUAUAUAGAGGAUCUAAUACAUGCAGCAAAGUGGAUAGGAGCGAAAGGAGAUGCACCUAACUUUUCU
rnacentral:lncRNA from 1 species